rnacentral:lncRNA from 1 species
GCCAUCUGCAUGCUAGUGCAGACUACGGUAGGCCCUGGGCAAGACCUUUUAUAGCUAUCUGCAGAGACUUUGAAGACCUGGGCAGGAAAGUGAAGGAACUGGGAGCGCAAGUUGUCUUCUCUUCUAUCCUACCAGUGAAUGGCCGUGGAACAGGAAGAUGGAGAAGGAUUCUACAGGUAAACAACUGGCUACGUCGAUGGUGCUACCAGCAAGGAUUUGGAUUUCUAGACCAUGGACUAAACUACUUAUAUGAUGGACUCCUUGCAAGAGAUGGGCUCCAUCUUACAAAGACAGGAAAGCACAUAUUUGGCAGGAGACUGGCUGCGCUCAUCAGGAGAGCUUUAAACUAGGGCGAAAGGGGAAGGGAAGUAAAAGUCCAGAGAAAGAUAAGCAGCUAAUAAAUACAGAUAAGGAACUUGCUACCAGAAAUGAAAGGAAAGAACAAAGACAAACAAUUUGGAAGGAAACUAAAGGAGUCAAGCUUGAAAGAGAUAUUUGUCGCAAACUAAAAUGUUUCUAUACCAAUGCGCAAAGCAUGGGAAACAAACAAGGAGAACUGGAAAUCCUAGCACAGGAAAAUAAAUAUGAUAUCAUAGGCAUAACUGAAACUUGGUGGGAUAAUACGCAUGAUUGGAACACAGAGCUCGAAGGAUACAACUUAUUUUUAAAAAACAGGCUUAAUAAAAGGGGAGGAGGUGUUGCAUUGUAUGUAAGGAAAAUAUAUACCACCACAGAGAUUAAUCUUUCAGAUAAUGGAAGCCCUGUAGAAACCGUUUGGGUGAAAAUACAAGGAGAGAGCAACACAAAGGAUACUGUUGUAGGAGUUUAUUAUAGACCCCCUGGACAAACAGAAUAUAUGGAUGAACUAUUUAUAUAUCAGAUGGCCAAGCUCUCGGGGAAACACGACCUAGUCAUUAUGGGAGAUUUUAACUAUCCAGACAUUUGUUGGGAAUCUCUCUCUGGCAAAAGUCAUGGGUCCAAUAAAUUCUUAUCCUCUCUGGCAGAUAACUUCAUUUUCCAAAGGAUUGAGGAAAAAACAAGGGGGUCUGCUAUCUUGGACCUAAUCCUUACCAACAGGGAGGAAAUGGUUGAGGAAGUAAGGGUGACUGGGACCCUGGGUGGCAGUGACCAUGCUAUCAUUGAGUUUUGGAUAACAAAAGGAGGAGGAUCUGAGAGGACUCAGACUUCAAGGUUAGAUUUCAGAGGAGCAGAUUUUGAUGGACUCAGAAGGAGGGUAGGAAGGAUCCAUUGGCUGGAUGUCUUAAAGGACAGAAAUGUCCAGGAAGGAUGGGAAAUUUUGAGAAAGGAGACUCUAGAGGCACAAUCUUUAACAAUUCCUAAAAGAAAAAAGAAUGGCAAGCAUCUAAAGAGACCAGGGUGGAUGAACCCUGAACUUAAUNACUUGCUAAAAAGAAAAAAAGAAAUGUUUAAAAAAUGGAAAGAGGGGGACAUAUCAAAAGAAGAAUAUAAUGCAAUCUGCAGGAACUGCAGGAUAAGUGUCAGAAAGGCUAAAGCUAAAAAUGAAUUGAGGAUUGCAAGAGAGGCCAAAAACAAUAAAAAAGGNUUUUGGGGGUAUGUCAGAAGCAAAAGAAAAGUCAAAGAAGCUAUAGGACCUUUACAAAAUGAGAAGGGUGAUUUGGUCAAAAACGAUAUUCAGAAGGCAGAACUUCUGAACUCCUAUUUUGC